rnacentral:rRNA from 1 species
CCUACGGGAGGCAGCAGUGGGGAAUAUUGCACAAUGGGGGAAACCCUGAUGCAGCAACGCCGCGUGAGGGAAGAAGUAUUUCGGUAUGUAAAGCUCUAUCAGCAGGGAAGAAAUAGCGACCUUUGGGUCGCCAGACGGUACCUGAUUAAGAAGCCCCGGCUAACUACGUGCCAGCAGCCGCGGUAAUACGUAGGGGGCAAGCGUUAUCCGGAUUUACUGGGUGGAAAGGGCGCGUAGGCGGCAACGCAAGUCUGAAGUGAAAUGCCGGGGCUUAACCCCGGAACUGCUUUGGAAACUGUUCAGCUAGAGUGUAGGAGAGGUAAGUGGAAUUCCUAGUGUAGCGGUGAAAUGCGUAGAUAUUAGGAGGAACACCAGUGGCGAAGGCGGCUUACUGGACGGUAACUGACGUUGAGGCGCGAAAGCGUGGGGAGCAAACAGGAUUAGAUACCCCUGUAGUC